AGCUGGUGCUAAAAGAAGGACUCUUAACCCCUUUAUUCCUCAUAAGGAGAGCUUGGAAUCUGAAGAUUUUUCUGCAAAGCUUUCCCUGCAAAACUGAAGUUCAUGUCUCAUGUUUGGAUUAAUCACGGUGUAGUCUGAUGGAGGAAUAAGGGUUGCUUCUCACUCCCUUUUGGUCUGUGCUAGCGUGGACGGAGGGUGACCCAGGCCUGUCCGAC